UGGGCUGAAGGCAGCAGUAGGGCGAUGGAAAUCCUGGCCAAUGGCUUCUAGAACUUGAAGCUCACCAUUUUUGGAUGGCAUUCUGGGAACAAAGUGUUCUCUAUGAGAUACUAAGAGCAAUAUAGGGUAAUCACUGGUGACAGAAACAUCUUCUCAUGCAGGUUCAUGUCAAAGUCCAGUGUUGAAAGAGAAACCCUCAUCCCAGAUGUGACAGAAUUGAUGCCCUAUAGCUUCUGAGUGUAGGUCAUAAAAGGCAAUGUGGCUCCCCCUUCUCUCUCCCUCUGUCAAGAUGCUUUUCCUUGGAAUCCAGCUGCCAUGUUGUGAGAAAGCCCAGACCACACGCAGAGACCACAUGUGGGUGUUCCAGCCAACAGCCCCAGCUAGGUCCCCAUGGAGAGCCGACACCAACCACCAGAUAUGAGGGUUCAGACUCCAGCCCGCAGUCUUCAAGUCUUCCAACUGCAGUCCCAGACAUCAUGAAACCAUUCUGCUGUCACCUGUCAGAAUUUCUGACCCCAGAAACUGUUGGAGACAAUAAAUAAUUACUGUUGUUUUAAUCCACUAA
rnacentral:lncRNA from 1 species